CUCAUUUUUCCCGGGCUUUCGGUCGGCGUUUUCCUUUUCUCGCGGGUUUGGGCGCGCAUCGAACUCUGAAGGGUCGGGAAGGCCUGUCGUUGGAAUGUGGUUGAGUUCCAGGGAGUGUACAGGCUGGAGGAUGGGACAAGACCUAUCUCUGUAUCGAUCAAGCACGGCGUUGGUGUUCCAGCUCAUCACCAAUCCUAAGGAAUUCAAGUGCCUCCCAGGAUGAAUACAGGUUGUCUUGAUGGUGAUACAUUCAUCUGUCUUAAGAUCCCUGCUGAUCUGCUCAUGGUCAAACUCCUGGAAAGAGUUGAGAGUGGGGUACCUUGUUCCUGCAUCCUCAAAGGAGCAUCUUGUUCCUCCAUUUAAGCUUCCAGAGUUAAAAGGUACCUGUACCAUUUAGCGGCUUGUUCACUCAAAGAUCCAUCUUGUCUGGAGCCUGAGGAUGACUGGAGGUGAAAGGUGUAAGCCAUACUCUGCUCAACUCCAGUCUGAAACUGAGGUUUAAAGAAAGAACACGUACUUAACACACGGGAAUCCAACUCUUGGAGGACAUCAGAAGUGGAAUUUUCUUAUACAACCUACCUAUUCAAAUUAGCAUAUAAUCUUUCUAGCCUUUCUAAAUAAAUAAAGGGAUUUUUUUGU
rnacentral:lncRNA from 1 species